UACAGCAUAGCUGCAAGGGAGUGCUUCGCGCGCGGGCUACAAACGUUU
ncrna:unclassified sequences ssnA RNA